rnacentral:rRNA from 1 species
UGGGGAAUUUUGGACAAUGGGCGAAAGCCUGAUCCAGCAAUGCCGCGUGUGUGAAGAAGGCCCUCGGGUUGUAAAGCACUUUUGUCCGGAAAGAAAUCCUUGGCUCUAAUACAGUCGGGGGAUGACGGUACCGGAAGAAUAAGCACCGGCUAACUACGUGCCAGCAGCCGCGGUAAUACGUAGGGUGCAAGCGUUAAUCGGAAUUACUGGGCGUAAAGCGUGCGCAGGCGGUUUGCUAAGACCGAUGUGAAAUCCCCGGGCUCAACCUGGGAACUGCAUUGGUGACUGGCAGGCUAGAGUAUGGCAGAGGGGGGUAGAAUUCCACGUGUAGCAGUGAAAUGCGUAGAGAUGUGGAGGAAUACCGAUGGCGAAGGCAGCCCCCUGGGCCAAAUACUGACGCUCAUGCACGAAAGCGUGGGGAGCAAACAGGAUUAGAUACCCUGGUAGUCCACGCCCUAAACGAUGUCAACUAGUUGUUGGGGAUUCAUUUCCUUAGUAACGUAGCUAACGCGUGAAGUUGACCGCCUGGGGAGUACGGUCGCAAGAUUAAAACUCAAAUGAAUUGACGGGGUCAUAGCUGUUUCC